ensembl:ncRNA lncRNA:CR43357 long non-coding RNA:CR43357
UAGCUAACCGGUAGUCCACUAAAUUCAUUCAUUCAGCUUGAGAAUUUUCGGGUUAACUAAACUCAUUAAGGACACCAGAAGCACAAGCAGGAAAGGACGAAACGAAACUCCAGGGGACCUGGGACCUGAGACCAGGACCAACGAUGCUCAAUCGCACACAGCAAUCAGCCCAAAAAGGCGAGCGAAUUCUUUUUUUUUUGUAAUUUUUAUGACCCCAAAAGACGCAUCAAUUCCGAAGGGCAGAUCUCCGAACAAAGGACCCCAAAUACACACCCAAUAAGAGAGGGCAGCCAAAGCAAACUUAUUUAAAGAUGUAAGCGCAAUAAAAUAAAAUAAUAAAAAUACAACUUUUCACCCAUCCUCGGGGCUCAACCAAGCGUCUCCGACAUUUGUAAGCCUCCAGAGCCGGCGAAAGUGGGUGGCACAUCGUCUCCGACUAUAAACUGUUCCAAGUUAUCUAAAGUGUUAAAUCACCUGAUGCCGUCAGCAUGAAAUUUACGCACAUAAAUCUUUCGGGGCGAGCCCAAGUCCGAAACUGAGAAUGGGCCGCAAAAAAAAAAAACAUAAACCAAACAUAAGCAGGCCCCUUUU